rnacentral:rRNA from 1 species
GACGAGGGGUCCUAGCGUUGUUCGGAAUCACUGGGCGUAAAGCGUAUGUAGGCGGGCUUUUAAGUCAGGUGUGAAAUCCCAUGGCUCAACCAUGGAAUUGCAUUUGAAACUGGAAGUCUUGAGUGUGGGAGAGAUUGGUAGAAUACCUGGUGUAGUGGUGAAAUACGUAGAUAUCAGGUGGAAUACCGGUGGCGAAGGCGGCCAAUUGGCCCAACAUUGACGCUGAGAUACGAAAGCGUGGUGAUCAAACAGG